UACGUAGGGGGCAAGCGUUGUUCGGAAUUAUUGGGCGUAAAGGGCGCGUAGGCGGUUAGUUAAGUCAGGCGUGAAAUCCCUGGGCUCAACCUGGGGGCUGCGUUUGAUACGUAUUGUCUGGAGUUCGGAAGAGGGUCGUGGAAUUCCCAGUGUAGAGGUGAAAUUCGUAGAUAUUGGGAAGAACACCGGUGGCGAAGGCGGCGACCUGGUCCGAUACUGACGCUGAGGCGCGAAAGCGUGGGGAGCAAACAGG
rnacentral:rRNA from 1 species